rnacentral:lncRNA from 1 species
CCCCAGCAUGGCACUAGAGUGUACUAUGGUAUUUAUACGCACACAGAUAAUCCGCAAGCGCACGGAUACCGUUGAAGCUUUUACCCGGUUAAAGGUUUUAUCGUAUCCACAGGGAAACGGGAGAACUGAUCUACGCUCUAACUUAACCAAGAUAAGUAAAUAGGUGUGAAUAGGAAAGAUGGUAGAAUCAAAUAAGAACAAUAUUAAAGGUAAGAUAAAAGUAAGUGAUAAUAUGGGGAUAGAGAGUAGAGCAAUUCUAGUAUAUGGGCGAUGGUAGCAGAAUAGAGAGGAUAACUAUGGUUUCUCUACUUCAAAGGGGUAUGUCUAUGUCUGGGACGAACCACGUGAUAAGAGUACACCACAAAGGAUGCUUAUCCAUAGGCCGAUAAACCCUACCCGUCCUGCUAACGAGAGGUGGACUACAGGGGACCAACAUAACUGUCACCUACGCGGCCUACCACACGAUCCAGCUAGUCAGGGGAUAUCCACAAGUAAUCUAGGUCU